UACGGAAGGCAGCGGUGGGGAAUAUUGCACAAUGGGCGCAAGCCUGAUGCAGCCAUGCCGCGUGUAUGAAAAAGGCCUUCGGGUUGUAAAGUACUUUCAGUCGUGAGGAAGGUGUUAAGGUUAAUAACCUUAGCAAUUGACGUUAGCGACAGAAGAAGCACCGGCUAACUCCGUGCCAGCAGCCGCGGUAAUACGGAGGGUGCGAGCGUUAAUCGGAAUUACUGGGCGUAAAGGGCACGCAGGCGGUUAAUUAAGUUGGAUGUGAAAUCCCCGGGCUUAACCUGGGAAUGGCAUUCAAGACUGGUUAGCUAGAGUCUUGUAGAGGGGGGUAGAAUUCCAUGUGUAGCGGUGAAAUGCGUAGAGAUGUGGAGGAAUACCGGUGGCGAAGGCGGCCCCUGGACAAAGACUGACGCUCAUGUGCGAAAGCGUGGGGAGCAAACAGGGAUUAGAUACC
rnacentral:rRNA from 1 species